ACGGGUGAGUAAUGCUUCGGAAUCUGCCCAAUGGUGGGGAAUAACCAGCCGAAAGGUUGGCUAAUACCGCAUACGUCCUACGGGAGAAAGCAGGGGAUCGUAAGACCUUGCGCCAAUGGAUGAGCCGAAGUCGGAUUAGCUAGUUGGUAGGGUAACGGCCUACCAAGGCGACGAUCCGUAGCUGGUCUGAGAGGACGACCAGCCACACUGGGACUGAGACACGGCCCAGACUCCUACGGGAGGCAGCAGUGGGGAAUAUUGGACAAUGGGGGAAACCCUGAUCCAGCGACGCCGCGUGUGUGAAGAAGGCCUGCGGGUUGUAAAGCACUUUUAGUGGGGAUGAAAAGUUCAGGGCUAAUACCCCUGGAUCUUGACCUAACCCACAGAAAAAGCACCGGCUAACUCUGUGCCAGCAGCCGCGGUAAUACAGAGGGUGCAAGCGUUAAUCGGAAUUACUGGGCGUAAAGCGUGCGUAGACGGUUACAUAAGUCGGGUGUGAAAGCCCCGGGCUCAACCUGGGAAUUGCAUUCGAGACUGCGUAGCUAGGGUGCGGAAGAGGGAAGCGGAAUUUCCGGUGUAGCGGU
rnacentral:rRNA from 1 species